rnacentral:rRNA from 1 species
UACAGAGGUGGCAAGCGUUGUUCGGAAUUACUGGGCGUAAAGGGCGCGUAGGCGGCCCUCUAAGUCUUGUGUGAAAUCCCUCGGCUCAACUGAGGAACUGCACGGGAUACUGGAGGGCUUGAGUUCGGGAGAGGGAAGCGGAAUUCCGGGUGUAGCGGUGAAAUGCGUAGAUAUCCGGAGGAACACCGGUGGCGAAGGCGGCUUCCUGGACCGAUUACUGACGCUGAGGCGCGAAAGCUAGGGGAGCAAACGGG